rnacentral:rRNA from 1 species
GACGAACGCUGGCGGCAUGCCUAAUACAUGCAAGUCGAGCGAAUGAUGGAGAAGCUUGCUUCUUCUGAUUUAGCGGCGGACGGGUGAGUAACACGUGGGCAACCUGCCCUGUAGAUUGGGAUAACUCCGGGAAACCGGGGCUAAUACCGAAUAAUCCAUUUCCUCUCAUGGGAGAUGUUAAAAGAUGGUUUCGGCUGUCACUACAGGAUGGGCCCGCGGCGCAUUAGCUAGUUGGUGAGGUAACGGCUCACCAAGGCGACGAUGCGUAGCCGACCUGAGAGGGUGAUCGGCCACACUGGGACUGAGACACGGCCCAG